CCACAUGGUCACAUGAGUCUUCCCCAGUUUCCCCUGAAUGCAUUGUUUUAACCUGCAUUUCUUUCUAUUCCUCACAGACGAUAUUGUGAUGAAGAUUUUGUUUUUAUAUAUUUACACCUGUAGUAGGUGCUGUAAAAUGUACUCAUUUAGUAAAAGUGACAUGUGUGUUUUAGCCUUGAAGAUUUCAUAUCUUAUGAAGUUAUGAGGGAACAAAGUGCCAGAGACAGACGACACCAGAAUCAAGUUUGUUGGUUUUAAACAGAGAGUGGACAGGAACAUGGCUGCUAUGGUGUGACAGAGGAAAGUCCAAACAGCCUCACUGGUUCU
ensembl:lncRNA